UACGUAGGGUGCAAGCGUUGUCCGGAAUUAUUGGGCGUAAAGAGCUCGUAGGCGGUUUGUCGCGUCUGCUGUGAAAUCUGGAGGCUCAACCUCCAGCCUGCAGUGGGUACGGGCAGACUAGAGUGCGGUAGGGGAGAUCGGAACUCCUGGUGUAGCGGUGGAAUGCGCAGAUAUCAGGAAGAACACCGAUGGCGAAGGCAGAUCUCUGGGCCGUAACUGACGCUGAGGAGCGAAAGCGUGGGGAGCGAACAGG
rnacentral:rRNA from 1 species